UCCUGGUGUCCAGAAGAUGUGAGCUUA
rnacentral:piRNA from 1 species